UACAUCAGCUCUCCGUGUGCAUGGGUUCCGAGUCCACAGAUUCGACCGGCCAUAGAUAAAAAAUAUUUGGAAAAAAAAUUUCAGAAACUUCCCAAAAGCAAACCUUGAAUUUGUACAUAACAACUAUUUACAUACCAUUCACACUGUAUUGACAGCUAUUACAUAGCAUUUAUACUGUAUCAGGUAUUUUAAGCAAUCUAGAGAUGACUUCCAAAUACAUGGAAGGAUGUGCAUAGGUUAUGAGCAAAUACAAUACUGUUUUAUAUAAGGGACUUGAGCAUCUGAGGAGUUUGAUAUCUGCAGGGUGUCUUGGAACCAAUCCCCCAUGAAUACUGAGGGAUGACUGUACAAUUUCUAAAAAUCUUCUUGAAGUUUACUUUGCUUGUCUCAUGUCCCCUCCUCCCCUCCCUCACCAGCCGAGUGCUGGGAGCCCUCCCAUGGUCCUCCACAUCACGGAUCGAACAACCAAGAAUCUACUCAAGAAUAAUGUGGGCUCCUGAACGGCUCCCUGAUGAGGGGUGGUCACCAGAAGGAACACGCCUUAAUUAGAAGCUUGGAAUUUUCAGCCCUGCCCCCCUCCUCAGGAGAAGACAUUUGGUGAUGGAUGUUGAACUCCAUCCCGACUACAUGAUGAAGCCCCCAUACCAAAUCCCCAAAGGGUGAGGCCUGGAGAGCUUCUGGGUGGGUGAUCACACAGAUGUGCUGGGAGAGUGGUGCCCAGUGAGGGCAUGGAUGCUCUGUGCCCCUUCUCACAUGCCCUGCCCUGUGUAUCCAUCUACCUGGGGGUGAUGCCCCCAACUCCAUGUGCUCAGUACCCAGGUGUCAAGCUGUGAAUCUCUUCACCUGGA